UCGGAUCAUCCGCUGAGGGGAGGCGGCGGCCGGUUUCGCGCGAAACCGGCCGCCGCCUCCCCUCAGCAGGGGCGGAAC
rnacentral:miRNA from 1 species